rnacentral:rRNA from 1 species
UACGAAGGGGGCUAGCGUUGUUCGGAUUUACUGGGCGUAAAGCGCACGUAGGCGGAUCUUUAAGUCAGAGGUGAAAUCCCAAGGCUCAACCUUGGAACUGCCUUUGAUACUGGGGAUCUUGAGUCCGGGAGAGGUGAGUGGAACUGCGAGUGUAGAGGUGAAAUUCGUAGAUAUUCGCAAGAACACCAGUGGCGAAGGCGGCUCACUGGACCGGCAUUGACGCUGAGGUGCGAAAGCGUGGGGAGCAAACAGG